rnacentral:rRNA from 1 species
UACGUAGGGGGCGAGCGUUGUCCGGAUUUAUUGGGCGUAAAGAGCGUGUAGGCGGCCAGGUAGGUCUGCUGUGAAAACUCGAGGCUCAACCUCGAGACGUCGGCGGAAACCAUCUGGCUAGAGUCCGGAAGAGGAGAGUGGAAUUCCUGGUGUAGCGGUGAAAUGCGCAGAUAUCGGAAGGAACACCGGUGGCGAAAGCGGCGCGCUGGACCUCUUCUGACGCUGAGGCGCGAAAGCCAGGGGAGCGAACGGG